GAAGCUGGCUAGACAGUCGCCGCACUUGCAAGAGUGGGGAGGAAAGUCCGGGCUCCGCAGAGCAGGAUGCCGGUUAAUGGCCGGACGCCGUGAGGCGAUGGAAAGUGCCACAGAAAACGGAACGGAGUGGAGUUUCGGUGCAGGCUAACCUUCGGGUCAUGCCCAGCCGCCACUCGAAGGUUCCCUUUUUGGCGUUGAGGGCAUGACCCGAAGGUUAUGCCGGAGCCAAAAUGACACCGCCGAUGGCCUGUCGUCCGCAAGGGUGGCGGGAUCAGGUAAGGUUGAAAUGGCGAGGUAAGAGCUCACCGCGCUGGUGGCAACAUCAGUGGCAGGGUAAACCCCAUCCGGAGCAAGAUCAAAUAGGCUGACUAUGGCGUGGCUCGCGUCGUCAGCGGGUAGAUUGCUUGAGCGUCAGGUAACGAAACGCCUAGAGGAAUGACUGUCCACGACAGAACCCGGCUUAUCGGCCAGCUUCACCU
rnacentral:RNase_P_RNA from 1 species